UACAGAGGUCCCAAGCGUUGUUCGGAUUCAUUGGGUGUAAAGGGUGCGUAGGCGGUCAGCACAAGUCAGUUGUGAAAUCUCCGGGCUUAACUCGGAAAGGUCAACUGAUACUGUGCGACUAGAGUGCAGAAGGGGCAACUGGAAUUCUCGGUGUAGCGGUGAAAUGCGUAGAUAUCGAGAGGAACACCUGCGGCGAAGGCGGGUUGCUGGGCUGACACUGACGCUGAUGCGCGAAAGCCAGGGGAGCGAACGGG
rnacentral:rRNA from 1 species